UUACAUGUUGUCAUGUUCGGGCCAGAAUACUCUGGGAAACAAAUUAGUCAAGGAACGCCGGGAGCACUGGGAGGAAGGGGGUUGGAGUAAACAGGAAUUCUCCCAAAUAACCGUCAGUCUUGGAGGGAACACACACACAAACACUCAGCUAUCCUUUCUAAUUGAUGCCAUUUCCCACAAUAUGAUAUAGUGGACUGGCGGUGAGGCAUUUAGGAAUUAAGGGCUGGUUUCACAGACAAGGCUGAAGCCUAGUCCCAGACUAAAAUGCCUGUUUGAGCUGUCUUAACUCAAAGCGACUUGCACAGACUUAUUUUAAAAUAGUCAUAGAUUUAGCCUGUUCUAGAUUAAACAAUGCUGAUUGCAAGAGGGAGGAUUAGAGCUACUCUAGGACUAAAUUGAAUCUUAAAUUAAUCCUUCAAAGAGACAGGUUUAACUUCUGCUUAGUACUGUUUGUGAGGGAGCAGGGACUAUUUUGAAUAUCUAAAUGAAGACCAACAUGCACUACAGAGGGCAGCCAGACAUUUACAUUUAAGUCAUUUAGCAGACGCUCUUAUCCAGAGCGACUUACAAAUUGGUGCAUUCACCUUAAAUAUCCAGUGGAACAACCACUUUACAAUAGUGCAUCAAUAGUGCAGACGAGUACUUAGGAGGAUGGAUAGGAGUAAUCCAUUAAAUUACUUUGAUGAAAUAGCUUUUUGAGACCACUGUCGUAUGUACAAAUAAAAUGCACUGGAGAUAAUAUCUUUCUUGAGCCUAGACUUUCCUCUCUGUCUCAAAGAGGAAGGCCUUUACCCAAGUUCUGAUCACUUUGAGGUUUUUGGCAUCUGGAACCUUUCAUUGUGAAACUGGUGAUUUGUGUGUGUGUGUGUGUGUGUGUGUGUGUGUGUGUGUGUGUGUGUGUGUGUGUGUGUGUGUGUGUGUGUGUGUGUGGAGUAGUUCAGUCUGCAGGGUCAUUUGUGAACUGAGGAGUGUUUACAUCAAGUUUCCUGAUGCUGCUGGCCAAGACAACUAUAAAGUGCAAUUCUAUGAAUAUGGGCACUUCCCAGGAGUGAUUGGCUGUAUAGAUGGAUGUCAUGUUCCCAUCAAGUGUCCAUAAACUCCUGAUGCUGAGGAGCACAGGAACCGUUUCAGAGAGGACAACAUAGUGGACUACUACUUGGUGACAGUGGAUAUGGUCAGAGUAACUUUUUAUUCACUCCAUACAUAAAUCCCACAGCAGCUGAGCAGCAAUGAUGCAACCGAGCUCAUAUCCGGACGAGAGGGAUGGUCGAGCGUAUGUUUGGAGUAUGGAAAAAUUGAUUCCAGUGUUUACGCAAUACACUUUGUUUCAAGCUAAGAAGAUGCUGCAAGGUGAUCAUUGCUACAGCUGUGCUGCACAACUGCCUGAAGCAGCAUUGCUGUCCUGAUCCUCCAAUGGAAGAUCAGGAUCGAGCAGAUGUGCCCAUGGCUGAGGCAGGCAAUGACCAACGAGGACUUGCACACAGAGUUGCUUUCACAUUGCAGCACUUCAACUAGAUGAGAUGCAUUUAAAUAUGGAAUGUAUUCAUUAUGGCUUAUUUUUGCUUUGCUAAUGUUUGUUCUGUACAGCAAAAUUAAAUGAGUGACUAAACCAAG